AUUGAACGCUGGCGGCAUGCUUUACACAUGCAAGUCGGACGGCAGCACAGAGAAGCUUGCUUCUUGGGUGGCGAGUGGCGAACGGGUGAGUAACAUAUCGGAACGUACCGAGCAGUGGGGGAUAACUAAUCGAAAGAUUAGCUAAUACCGCAUAUAUUCUGAGGAAGAAAGCAGGGGACCAUUUGGCCUUGCGCUGUUUGAGCGGCCGAUAUCUGAUUAGCUAGUUGGUGGGGUAAAGGCCUACCAAGGCGACGAUCAGUAGCGGGUCUGAGAGGAUGAUCCGCCACACUGGGACUGAGACACGGCCCAGACUCCUACGGGAGGCAGCAGUGGGGAAUUUUGGACAAUGGGCGCAAGCCUGAUCCAGCCAUGCCGCGUGUCUGAAGAAGGCCUUCGGGUUGUAAAGGACUUUUGUCAGGGAAGAAAAGGGCGGGGUUAAUACCCCUGUCUGAUGACGGUACCUGA
rnacentral:rRNA from 1 species